rnacentral:misc_RNA from 1 species
GGAUGGGGAAAGAAGCCCCGCAAUUUCCCCAUCC